rnacentral:lncRNA from 1 species
GAGCUUCUGGAUAGCUGAGCACAUGGAGGUUCCUGGAAGCCGGCAGAACCCGCUCCCAGGCACGGAGCCUCCAUUGCUCUGGACCCUGGUCCCAUCGCCGCUCUCAUCUGCAGCAACUGCUGGGAGGGUGCAGGGAGGAGGUGGAGCUGGGCCUGAGGCAGUGCCAUCCUCCACGGAGCCGCUGGGAGCCAGGGACAAGGACAAGAAGGAGCACCCUCUCCCCAGGCCCCCAAAGCCCACCACCCUGAGGGCCACCGCAAUGGGGCUGGGCCAAGCUACCCUCCAGCACAAUCCGGCACUGAGGGGCAGGCAGAGCAUCCGGACCCCCUACCCCAGGCUGUGAGGAGGCGUGGCCAGGGCUGUCUGCAAGCUCCAGGAGGCCAGGGGAGCCCCACCCUCCCAGGCACGGGACUCUGGCAUUUCUGCUCUCUGUACCCUCGAGGACCCGGAAGGCCCUCCCGCGAAGGCUCAGGGUUGUCUGCUCCCACUGCCUAGCCGCUCGCCACUCCUGGCACCCACUCCAAUCUCAGAGCAGGGUUGGGGCUGAAUGAACCCUGGAGCUGUCACAGGCCGGCUGGGUGUAGCCGGGUGUGUGCACGCUGUGGGCAGCACUGAUACACCAGCCCCCUGCUGCCUCGGCCCCCUCCAGACUUUGAGCAUCCAGGAGCACAAAGGCUGGGUACGGGGGAAGCUGAGUGGUGGGGGGCUGAGGGCAGCUAGGUGCUGGCCUGCAGGUGCCCCUGGGGGCUAGCAGCCUGGGCGGCAUGGACAGUGUCAGGAGGCAGACAGACUCCUGGGUGGAAGGGGUCAGGUCCCCCAGGGAGGGUCCGAAGGCUAGGGGCCAGGCUGCUGGUGGAGUGGGGUCUUGUGGUGCCUUUUCCAGACCUGCCCAUGGCCACCCAUGGACCAACUGGCACACACUUCCUCUCCUCUGAGGUCCAUAAAAGCCCUGGGAUCAGCUACAGCAGGGUAGAUCAGAGGAUGGAGAGGUGACAGGAUGAUCAGCAGCAGAGAGGAGUUACACUCUCUGCUGAGAGCUGCAGAGGCAAUGGGAUGACCUGCUGCAGAGAGGAGCCACCACUCUAGGGCCUCUUCUCUGCUUAGAGCUGCAGACAAUGGGAGGACCCGCAGCAGAGAGGAGCUACCCUCAACACUUGUUGAGAUGACCUCUAGCAGAGAGGAACUACCCGCUCCCUAGGAGCUGAACACUUGUCAGGACACUCCGGCUGCAGAAAGAAGCUCCCCACUGCAGGUCCCCUCUGAGCUGUUCUAUAGCUCAAUAAAGCUCUUCUUCCUCUUACUCACCCUCCACUUGUCUGCAUAACUCACUUUUCCUAGUCACAGGACAAGAACUCGUGACCCAACGAAUGGCAAAGCUAAAAGAGCUGUAACACAAACAGGGCUGAGACAUGCCCCUUGCUUGCUCCCUACAUUGCAGGUGAAGAGAAGGAAAGAAGAGCUGUGGCCCUUUGGGGAUCCCAGACCUGGGAGCUCCCCCACAGGGCUGUGACUCCCUCUUUGGGGCCCUGCAAUCUCCAAGCUUCCAGGCACCACCAUGGUCCCCAGUGCCAGCUGUGGAAGCUGCUUGCAGUGCACCUGGUCUGGCCACAGCCUUGCAAAGAACCAGCACCCAUGCCGGCACUUGGAGCUGCCCACCCCACUGCAGCAACCAGCCUGUCUGACUGUGUGCAGUGGCCAGACCUCACACUUGCUCACAUACCCUUCACCGCUCCCACCUUACUCGCCCUUGGGAGACAUGGGAUCAAGGCCAGUAGCGUCAGCCAAGCACAGCCUGCAAGGCCAAGUAGGCAGAAUGAGCCCAGUGGGCCCCACCAAAUCUCAAGCAAAGGCGCCACUGGUCACAGAUGUUUCCGGUCAGAAAAGUGACACCCCAAAGAUCCCCUAACAGUAGACCUUCCCCACAAUUGUUUUGCUUUGUUUCUUAUAUAUAAACAAGCAUUGUACCUAAGGUGGACGUAAUUCUUCCUUUUGCUUUUGGGAAUGUCCUGCUCUGCCUAUGGAGUGGCCAUUCUUUCAUUCCUUUACUUUCCUAAUAAACUUGCUUUUGCUUUACUCUGUGUAUUUGUCCUGAAUUGUUUUUUGCACAAGAUUCAAGAACCCUCUCUUGGGGUCUGGAUUGUGACCCUUUUCUGAUAAAACAAUUUAAUGUUUUAUAUUGAAA